rnacentral:rRNA from 1 species
GUGGGGAAUAUUGGGCAAUGGGGGAAACCCUGACCCAGCGACGCCGCGUGAGGGAAGAAGGCCUUAGGGUCGUAAACCUCUGUUGUGUGGGAAGAAGAGCGUGACGGUACCACACGAGGAAGUCCCGGCUAACUACGUGCCAGCAGCCGCGGUAAUACGUAGGGGACGAGCGUUGUCCGGAUUUACUGGGCGUAAAGGGCGCGUAGGCGGUCAUUUAAGUCAGCUGUGAAAUGGUUUGGCUUAACCGGAUCAUGCGGUUGAAACUGGAUGACUGGAGUGCUGGAGAGGCAAGUGGAAUUCCCAGUGUAGCGGUGAAAUGCGUAGAUAUUAGGAAGAACACCAGUGGCGAAGGCGACUUUCUGGACGAAAACUGACGCUGAGGCGCGAAAGCCAGGGGAGCGAACGGGAUUAGAAACCCCUGUAGUCC